UACGAAGGGAGCGAGCGUUGUUCGGAAUCACUGGGCUUAAAGCGUGCGUAGGUGGAUAUGUAAGUCAGAAGUGAAAUCCCGGGGCUUAACCCCGGAACUGCUUUUGAGACUGCAUGUCUGGAAUUCGGUAGAGGUUAGUGGAAUACCCAGUGUAGAGGUGAAAUUCGCAGAUAUUGGGUGGAACACCAGUGGCGAAGGCGACUAACUGGACCGAUAUUGACACUGAGGCACGAAAGCGUGGGGAGCAAACAGG
rnacentral:rRNA from 1 species